rnacentral:rRNA from 1 species
UACGGGGGGGGCAAGCGUUGUUCGGAAUUACUGGGCGUAAAGGGCUCGUAGGCGGCCAACUAAGUCAGACGUGAAAUCCCUCGGCUUAACCGGGGAACUGCAUCUGAUACUGGAUGGCUUGAGUUCGGGAGAGGGAUGCGGAAUUCCAGGUGUAGCGGUGAAAUGCGUAGAUAUCUGGAGGAACACCGGUGGCGAAGGCGGCAUCCUGGACCGGCACUGACGCUGAGGAGCGAAAGCCAGGGGAGCAAAGCGGG